GGUCAGCUGACACGUCCUGGCCAAUCUCCAGCAGACCCUCCCUCCCACUUUCUGGACAGCAUCCAUGUUGAAGCAAUGUAUGUUGAAACAUGGAUGCUGUCCAGGAAGUAGGAGGGUCUGGGAGGGAGGGUCUGCUGGAGAUUGGCCGGGACGUGUCAGCUGA